GUGGCUCUCCAUGCCUACCUGUGGUCUCUUGGACACCCUUGCAGAAGAUGACUUCCUGGGAACUCUUCUGGGAGUGAAUGUUAUCAGCAAAUUCCCAAAACAACACCCCUUAGACAAAAAGCCUCCUCACCUAUGCAUUGCCUAGACCACCCACUAAAGAUGGUGACCAUGGAGGAAGACUUGUGUUGGGCCCAAUGGCCCUCGGCCAGUGUCCGUCUGCCAGGUGCCAGCCCCCGGUGCGCUGAAGCUCAGGCCAUUCCUGAUGCCCUGGCCUCCUGCACUGAGCUGUGUGAGCUCUUCUGCCCAGGCAGGCCCCCUGGCAUUGACCGGCAUAGACAGUGAGCCUGGAGGAAGACUUGCCCUGGUCCCACUGUCCCUGGGCCAGUGUCCAUCAGCCAGGUGCCCAGACCCCAGUGCGCUGAAGCUCAGCCCUCCCUGGCACUCUGGUCUCCUGCACUGAGCUGUGUGAGCUCUUCCGCCCAUGAGGGCCCCCUGGCCUUGAGCAGCAUAGGU
rnacentral:lncRNA from 1 species